AUUGAACGCUGGCGGCAGGCCUAACACAUGCAAGUCGAGCGGAGCGGCGGACGGGUGAGUAAUGCCUAGGAAUCUGCCUGGUAGUGGGGGAUAACGUCCGGAAACGGGCGCUAAUACCGCAUACUAUCAGAUGAGCCUAGGUCGGAUUAGCUAGUUGGUGGGGUAAAGGCCUACCAAGGCGACGAUCCGUAACUGGUCUGAGAGGAUGAUCAGUCACCAGGGAACGGAGACACGGUCCAGACUCCUACGGGAGGCAGCAGUGGGGAAUAUUGGGCAAGGGGCGAAAGCCUGAUGCAGCCAUGCCGCGGGGAUGAAGAAGGCCUUAGGGUUGGAAAGUACUUUCAGCGGGGAGGCGUUACCCGCAGAAGAAGCACCGGCUAACUCCGUGCCAGCAGCCGCGGUAAUAC
rnacentral:rRNA from 1 species